GACGAACGCUGGCGGCGUGCCUAAUACAUGCAAGUCGUGCGGACCGACGAAGAGCUUGCUCUUUGGAGGUCAGCGGCGGACGGGUGAGUAACACGUGGGCAACCUGCCCGCAAGACCGGGAUAACUCCGGGAAACCGGGGCUAAUACCGGAUGAUGCCUUACUCCGCAUGGAGGAAGGCUGAAAGACGGCUUCGGCUGUCACUUGCGGAUGGGCCCGCGGCGCAUUUAGCUGGUUGGUGAGGUAACGGCUCACCAAGGCGACGAUGCGUAGCCGACCUGAGAGGGUGAUCGGCCACACUGGGACUGAGACACGGCCCAGACUCCUACGGGAGGCAG
rnacentral:rRNA from 1 species